UGUAGGUAUACAGAAUGGUGACAUAAUAGACAUCUCUUUGCCUUAAUUGUAUAUCAUUAGAUAUUAAUUAUGCACUGAGACAUGAAAUUCACAGAAACCAAGUGCUCCCUAUGAAGAGUUUCAGUAAAUCAGCAUUUUUCAACUAAAACAUCUCACUGAAAAAAUCUCUUACAAGGGAUGCCUAAAGCACUUUGGUACUUCUGAAAAUUUCAUCCAUAGCUCUUCCUGUCUGAAUAGCUUCAAUCAAGAAAUUAAAAAGUGGAAAUAUAUCACAUGACCAAUCACAAGGCAUGAAACUGGAGUCAAAAGAUCUGAAAUUUAUUCCAAGCUUAAUGGCCGAGGGGUGAUGUGGGUAGCAUCUCAUUUUUGUCUACUUUUGGUUACGUGGCUCAAAGGACUAGGUAUUCAUUUUAUAGUUGACUCAGCUGAGAACACUCAACAGAGCCCAAGCCAGGACCAAGUCUUGAACUCCAAUCUCCUGACUUCAUAGCAAGGCACAGUGAUCCUUUUUCCUUGAAAACUGAAUAACAAACAACAAAACAGUCACACACCAGGAAGAGCUGACCUAUUUUUCAAAGAAUUAUUAAUAGCAAAUAAAUGAAUACCAUUCCAAGUUUGUUUGUGAACA